rnacentral:rRNA from 1 species
GUGUGGUAGGGGCAGAGGGAAUUCCCGGUGUAGCGGUGAAAUGCGUAGAUAUCGGGAAGAACACCAGUGGCGAAGGCGCUCUGCUAGGCCAUAACUGACGCUCAUGGACGAAAGCCAGGGAGCGAAAGGGAUUAGAUACCCCUGUAGUCCUGGCCGUAAACGAUGAACACUAGGUGUCGGGGGAAUCGACCCCCUCGGUGUCGUAGCCAACGCGUUAAGCGUUCCGCCUGGGGAGUACGCACGCAAGUGUGAAAAUCAAAGGAAUUGACGGGGGCCCGCACAAGCGGUGGAGUAUGUGGUUUAAUUCGAUGCAACGCGAAGAACCUUACCAGGGUUUGACAUCCUGCGAAUCUCUUGGAAACGAGAGAGUGCCUUCGGGAACGCAGUGACAGGUGGUGCAUGGCUGUCGUCAGCUCGUGUCGUGAGAUGUUGGGUUAAGUCCCGCAACGAGCGCAACCCACGUCGUUAGUUGCCAGCAUUCAGUUGGGCACUCUAGCGAGACCGCCGGUGAUAAACCGGAGGAAGGUGUGGAUGACGUCAAGACAUCAUGCCCCUUACAUCCUGGGCUACACACGUACUACAAUGCUACGGACAAAGGGCAGCAAGCUCGCGAGAGUUAGCAAAUCCCAUAAAACGUGGCUCAGUUCAGAUCGUAGGCUGCAACUCGCCUACGUGAAGGAGGAAUCGCUAGUAAUCGCAGGUCAGCAUACAGCGGUGAAUACGUUCCCGGGCCUUGUACACACCGCCCGUCACACCAUGGAAGUUGGCCACGCCCGAAGCCGUUACUCCAACCCUUGUGGAGGAGGACGUCGAAGGUGGGGCUGAUGACUGGGGUGAAGUUGUAACAAGGUAGCCGUACCGGAAGGUGCGGCUGGAUCACCUCCUAA